GACGAACGCUGGCGGCGUGCUUAACACAUGCAAGUCGAGCGAUGAAGUUCCUUCGGGAAUGGAUUAGCGGCGGACGGGUGAGUAACACGUGGGUAACCUGCCUCAUAGAGGGGAAUAGCCUUUCGAAAGGAAGAUUAAUACCGCAUAAGAUUGUAGUUUCGCAUGAAGCAACAAUUAAAGGAGUAAUCCGCUAUGAGAUGGACCCGCGUCGCAUUAGCUAGUUGGUGAGGUAACGGCUCACCAAGGCGACGAUGCGUAGCCGACCUGAGAGGGUGAUCGGCCACAUUGGGACUGAGACACGGCCCAGACUCCUACGGGAGGCAGCAGUGGGGAAUAUUGCACAAUGGGGGAAACCCUGAUGCAGCAACGCCGCGUGAGUGAUGACGGUCUUCGGAUUGUAAAGCUCUGUCUUCAGGGACGAUAAUGACGGUACCUGAGGAGGAAGCCACGGCUAACUACGUGCCAGCCGCCGCCGUAA
rnacentral:rRNA from 1 species